CCCUUGCUUCAGUUCUCCCCAGGCUGCUGAGCUCCCUCUGUGGAUCCGGUUUGUUGAUGUGAUUUCAAAGGAGCAGCCCUAGAGAAGUCCAAAGGUACUAGUAACUUGGAUUCCCUAGGAAGACACAUUCGCGUUUGCCUCCCCCUUGCCUGUGUCCUCCGCCUGAGCUGUGGUUUUCCCCCAUUAGGGCUCAGCCGGGAGAGCUUUUUUCCCGCCCCUGUUUUGGAAGCGGCUCGUGGAUCUCGACCGAGCCCUCAAGGUGGGUUUCAUACCUUUUUGAGAAGCCUCGCUGGAAUGUGAUUGAGUCACGGUGGCAGCUGAUGUACUCUUCGAAGACACUGCUACAGAUGGGCAUUUCUCAGUAAUCAGGUAAGUAGGCAAGCUGGCCUUUGUUCUCUGCAUAAUCUCAAGCGCUCUCUGAUCCGCAGCAUGGCACAUGAAAAGCAGCACAUCUGAAUUGACAA
rnacentral:lncRNA from 1 species